UAGAGUUUGAUCAUGGCUCAGGAUGAACGCUAGCGACAGGCUUAACACAUGCAAGUCGAGGGGCAGCGGGGAGGUAGCAAUACUUCCGCCGGCGACCGGCGCACGGGUGAGUAACACGUAUGGAACCUGCCCGUAGCAGGGGGAUAAACGGAAGAAAUUCCGUCUAAUACCGCGUAAUAACUCCGAGAGGCAUCUCAUGGAGUUUAAAGGGUAACACCGGCUACGGAUGGCCAUGCGGCGCAUUAGCUAGUUGGCGGGGUAACGGCCCACCAAGGCGACGAUGCGUAGGGGUUCUGAGAGGAAGGUCCCCCACACUGGUACUGAGACACGGACCAGACUCCUACGGGAGGCAGCAGUGAGGAAUAUUGGUCAAUGGGCGCGAGCCUGAACCAGCCAAGUCGCGUGAGGGAAGACGGUCCUAUGGAUUGUAAACCUCUUUUGUCGGGGAGCAAAAGACGCCACGUGUGGCGUUCCGAGAGUACCCGAAGAAAAAGCAUCGGCUAACUCCGUGCCAGCAGCCGCGGUAAUACGGAGGAUGCGAGCGUUAUCCGGAUUUAUUGGGUUUAAAGGGUGCGCAGGCGGAAGAUCAAGUCAGCGGUAAAAUUGAGAGGCUCAACCUCUUCGAGCCGUUGAAACUGGUUUUCUUGAGUGAGCGAGAAGUAUGCGGAAUGCGUGGUGUAGCGGUGAAAUGCAUAGAUAUCACGCAGAACUCCGAUUGCGAAGGCAGCAUACCGGCGCUCAACUGACGCUCAUGCACGAAAGUGUGGGUAUCGAACAGGAUUAGAUACCCUGGUAGUCCACGCAGUAAACGAUGAAUGCUAGUUGUCCGGUUCUUUGGGACUGGGUGACACAGCGAAAGCGUUAAGCAUUCCACCUGGGGAGUACGCCGGCAACGGUGAAACUCAAAGGAAUUGACGGGGGCCCGCACAAGCGGAGGAACAUGUGGUUUAAUUCGAUGAUACGCGAGGAACCUUACCCGGGCUCAAACGACACAGGAAUACUUUUGAAAGGAAGUAGCUCUACGGAGCCUGUGUCGAGGUGCUGCAUGGUUGUCGUCAGCUCGUGCCGUGAGGUGUCGGCUUAAGUGCCAUAACGAGCGCAACCCCCAUCGCCAGUUACCAGCAAGUCAAGUUGGGGACUCUGGCGAGACUGCCGGCGCAAGCUGUGAGGAAGGCGGGGAUGACGUCAAAUCAGCACGGCCCUUACGUCCGGGGCGACACACGUGUUACAAUGGCAGGUACAGAGAGAAGCAAUGCGGCGACGCAAAGCGGAACUUGAAAGCCUGUCUCAGUUCGGAUUGGAGUCUGCAACUCGACUCCAUGAAGCUGGAUUCGCUAGUAAUCGCGCAUCAGCCAUGGCGCGGUGAAUACGUUCCCGGGCCUUGUACACACCGCCCGUCAAGCCAUGGAAGCCGGGAGUGCCUGAAGUGUGCAACCGCAAGGAGCGCCCUAAGGUAAAACUGGUGACUGGGGCUAAGUCGUAACAAGGUAGCCGUA
rnacentral:rRNA from 1 species